AUAUCACUAAGCGGAGGAAAGGAAACUAACGAGGAUUCCUCUAGUAACGGCGAGUGAAUGGGGAAGAGCCCAGCGCUGAAUCCGUCGGCCUCUGGUCGCUCGGACCUGUAGCGUAUAGACGCGGCUAUCCGUCACCGGCGUCCACCCUAAGUUCUCUUGACUGAGACUAUUGUCCAAAGAAGGUGCCAGGCCUGUGAGGGUGACGUCGACGGCGGUAGGUCGUGUCUCGGAGUCGGAUUGCCUGAGAUCGCAGUCCAAAGAGGGUGGUAAACCUCAUCUAAGGCUAAAUACGGCCACGAGACCGAUAGCAAACAAGUACCGUGAGGGAAAGUUGCAAAGAACUUUGAAGAGAGAGUUCAAGAGGGCGUGAAACCGCUUAGAAGGAAGCGGAUAGAGCCGACGAAACUCGGCGGCAUUCAUCCGGACGUCAUCGGUACCCGGGGCGACGCGAUCUUCGGACGCGGCGUUUCGGGGCGUUCGGUGGCGAACGGUGCAUUUGCCGUCGGUAUGCGCCGAGAGCGUCGCCGUCGUCUUCCGAGCGGUCGGAAAGUGGCCCAGAGCUUCGGCUUCGGUGUCCUGUCCGGCCGGUAGGCUGAUCUUCGGUGGCGUGCAUUCCGC
rnacentral:rRNA from 1 species